CUAGUGAUUUUAUGUGCCUCAUGAUGUCCACAACUUGCUCAACUUCCUGAAUCCAUAGGCUCACUUAAGUUGUUAACUCAGCUAGACCUAUCUCAUUCAGAGAUUGAUAAAUUACCUGAAUCCAUGGACUCCCUUGAGUCGUUAACUCAGUUGGACCUAUCUUAUUCAUAUCUUGAAGAAUUACCACACUCCAUGGGCUCUCUUGGGUUGUUAACUCAAUUGGACCUAUCUCAUUCAGGGAUUAGAAAAUUUCCAGAGUCCAUGGGCUCCCUCGUGUCAUUGAUUCAGUUGGAUUUGUCUUAUUCAAGGAUUGAAGAAUUACCCGAACCAAUUGGUUCUUUGAAGAAGCUCGAAACCCUCAAUGCCUUUAAUUGUGCAUUGUUGGCCCACAUACACAGCUCCAUAGGCAAUCUAACGUUUUUGUCUCUCCUUGACCUAAGGAAAUGCCAUAAACUUGCUCAACUUCCAGACUCCAUAGACUCCAUGGUGUCUCUACAACACUUGUUAUUACGAGGAUGUCUCUUGUUGAAAGAGAUUCCCGACUCGAUUGGAAAGUUGGUAUCAUUGACUGAGCUAGACUUGAAAUCUACAUCAAUUGUGGAAUUACCUCAAAGCAUUGAGAAACUGUAGAAUUUGAGGAUCUUGGACAUUCGUGGAACCCACAUAACAGAACUUCCAGGUGCCAUGUUGACUCCUAGAAUAUUUAAACAUUGAAUAUUAUAAUACGUAUGUUGGCUUGGCUUAUGUCAUAAUUUCACGUCUAGGUAGCCUGUAAGAUCUCCUGCUUUCUCUUCUUCGUCGAACAUGUGGCUUUCAAGUGCAAACUCAGUAGGGAAAUAAAUGUUGCAAACACUGUGUAUGUACUGUUAGUGCGGCACCAGUUCUGUUGCUUCAACUGAGCAUAAUAUUUUUCAGGUGGUUGGUGAAUGAAAUUGAGGUUGAGUUUACGCAAAGCCCGUACCAAUGGUUCACAGAUAAAGAGAAAGUCAAUAUCAUACAUUCAUAAAAAAAUUUAAAUUAAUAUACUCGUUAUAAAUUUAUCUUAAACUAAUUUUUUAACCACCAAAAAUCCUAAACUGGUAUGCUUGUCACAAAUUUACCAUUCGUUAGUUUGUAUUAGAUUUACUAUUAAAUUGCUGAGUUAAAUGAUACUUGCAAUUGACGGGUGUGCUAAUUUAGGGUUUUACUCUCCUUUUUAUCACAUGUUUACUACUUGUGAUUUUUCAUAUCAUAAAUAUAUCAAUUUUGAGUUUUUAACGGUAACGAAAUUAAUUUUGGAUAAAUUUAUCAUAGAUAUAUCAAUUUGAAGUUUUUGGUAGUCAAAAAAUUUGUUUAAAAUAAAUUUAUCACAAAUAUGCUAGUUUGAAGUUUUUGGCUUAGGGUAAAUUUGUUAUAUGUGAGCCAGUUUGAGAUUCUUCAUAAUAUUAACCCUAUUUUUAAAGCCAUUAACUUUAUUGACUAUAAUUUGAAAGUUGCAUCUGCUCUGAAGUUGCAUAUGCUUUUUAUGAAAAAUGGGGUCAAAUUCAAAUAUUUAAAGUGUAUAUUUUUGUAAAAAGGAUUUUAUCGACGAAUGGCCCUUAUUGAUUAAGUUAGACAUCCACGUGUAAAUUUUUUGUCAUUUUCAAAGCACUUUUUCUUUUUCUUUUUUUUCAUAUGGUGCACAAUCAAUAAAUCCACUUAUUAGGUGUGGGUUGGCUAACUGGUGCUCUGAGCAAGAACUUCCUAAUAAUAAUCCUCGACUUGUCGCCACAGCAUGUCCUGUUCACGAUUCAGAAGCAAACGUUUCAAAUUUUUUCUAACAAAGCCAUUUCUCUCUAGUUUGGAAGCUAUGUAUUACCAUUGUUGUUGAUGUCUAGUCCAAUCUUAUGAUCUCCAUAUUAACUCUAAAUACUUCAAAACUCGUAAAGAAUCUUUUGGUCAGCUAAGUCAAUUUUAAUUUCCUCAAGUCAUAUCUCGAUUUUUUGAGGUUUGGUUUGGUUUCAACUUUUGGGAAACCAAAUCAAAUUGCAAAAUCUUAUUGUAUAAAUUAUUCAUUUUGUCAAUUAAUUCUGCCAUUUAUAUGUGAAGUAGCCUAUCGAAAUAGGUUUGAUUUUUAUUUUGUGUGAAAUUUAUGACUUGUUGUGAGUAUAGAAUUUGUUUUUUUUUUUUUUCAAUGAAGUUACAAUAGGUAAAGAGAAAAAGAUGAAAGAAGAAACAACAACUAAACCGAAUCAAUCCCCAAAAAAAUGGUUUGGCUUGGUUAAUUCUUGACUAUGAUACGAUUUAAUUGUUUUAUUUUUCGUCAAAUUUUAUUUAUAUAGUUUGGUUUGGUUUGACAUUCAAACUACGCCAACUGUCCUGUGUUCAUCUCCUAAUAGUUAUCAAUAAGGAAAUAAGGUUGUAAAGAAUUUGCACAAUUUUUUGCUUUUUAACACAAAGGCACGGUUUCUAGAAAAUGUGAGAGGUCAAAUAUAAUUAAUGAUAAUAUAAACCAAGUCAUUAAGGCGAAGAAAUGAAAAUAAAUACUCCAUGGUGAAUAGUACAUAUAUGACGGGGAAGCGCUCAUGUGGACCAUUUUUUUGGAGAAUGAAGCAAAUCCAACGUUCGCAAAGGAGAUUUUUCUAAUUAUCCAGAAUCUCAUGUGUUAUCAUGAGAGGUGAUUCUUCAGGAACAUUUCGUCAGAGAAUCUUAUUUUAUUUGUCCAAAAGUUAAGAAGUAGGUGAACGGAUGUCGUCUACAUAGUCAGAGCCAUGUGACGAGCACGAAGAAGAAACUUGAAAGAAAUUGGGCGCGUGAAAAGGUAUAUCGGCCUUAUGACGGAAAAAACAGAAUAAAAUAAAAAGAGAGUAUGUCGGCCUGAUAAUGAUGAUGUGGUGGUAGGUGAGAGACUCUGCUGUUCUCGGAGGAGAGAGGGUGAAGGGAGAGAAAGAGGGAUCGCUUGGAUUUGUCACCCCCAAUAAUAAAAUGAAAUGGGGCCCACGGCAAAGAAAGAGAGCAAGCUCCAACGCCAACUAAUACUAAACAAACGGAUUUGACAUGACAAUGAAAAUAUAAUGUAAUAUCGGUAAAAAAAUUAUCAAAAUAAAAUUUUAAUUAUAAACAUUUUAAUUUGAUCAAUUUAACAAUAAUUUUUUAAAAAAUAUAUCAAUUUCAUUAAAAAUUACUGACGUUGAUGUUAACAGUAUCACGUAGGACGAUCAUUGUUAAUAUAAAUAAAUCGAUCAGGAUUGUAGUAGAAGAAUCGUCAUAACUUUGACCAAGACCACAAAACUAAAUGACUUCGUCUUAGAAGAAUAAUGAAAACUUCCCUAGAAAUAUUCAUGAUCACGAAAAUUUAAUGGAAGAAUUGUUAUUAUGUUGUCUAUGUGUAUAAAGAUAUAUCUAAAAAUUAAUUUUCAGGUCACGAUUUCUGUAAAAAGUGUACACAAGAAUAUUUAGUGGUGAAAUUAUCGAUUUAUCUACCACAUUAUAUUAUAUUUUUGCAAGACUAUACAUUUGCAAUGAUAUGGUCUCGAUAAUAAUUUGUAAUUUACUUUUAGAACAUAUAUUAAAAAACAUACAUCUUCAAUCACAUGAUGACGAACCUUUCAAUGUCGAAGAAUUAUCACAACUAAAAUUUUUAACAACAUAUUUACUAAACAUGUAUACACAAAUUUCUUUUAUGGAGAAUCAUCGGAGUUUAUAUUUUAGUGAUCGGGUAACCUUACAUUUACAAUGGUUUUAUAAAUUUAUGAGAGAACAAUAGUGAGAAAAAUAGAAAACAAAUUUACAACCAUCUGCCAACAUCAAAGUAAUAUUAACAUAAUAUAUUACAAUAUAAUUUUCAAUUCAACAAUCAAAUUCAGGAUAAGAAUACUUUCGAUUUUUCUAUUUUUAAAAAAAAAAUGAUUAUCACAUAAGUUUGAGGACCAUGUAUUCAUAUAAUAACAAUUAUUAACAACGUUAUAUUAGAAUAUGAUUAUAUACAUAGUUAGAGAUAGCUCUUAUCACCUGUAAUACUUAAAUUUAAGCCAAUGUAAUUUUUUUAAUUAAAUAUAUAUGAGAAUGUUGUCCAUCAUCUCAUAAAUUACUCGAAAAAGUGACGGAUCAAAUUUUGUUAAAGAGAUUAAUCUGCAUAAUAUCAAUAAGACGUGGAUAAAAUCAAAGCAAUGGCUCACUCAAAUAUCUUUAAAUUUAACAUUUAUUGUCAUGUAAAAAAAAUGUUUUGAAUUUUAUAUGACGACGAGUUUUCAUUAUUAGUGUUAAAGUUAAUAUGGACGUAACUAAAAGCACUUAUGACAUAUGGAUGAUUUGUUCAAGCAUCACACAAGCACGCGCAAAUGUCAAGAGCAUAUUUAAUUGACAAGUACCGCAUAUAAACAUUGAGAUGCAAAAUAUAAUGAAGUAGCAAUAUUACUGAAAAAUAUUAUAUCGAUGCUUUUCAGCAAGCAAAUUCUUGCACAAAUGGAAAUCUAAUCAACAAUAUAGAACAUUGAUUAGAACUAAAAGAAAGUUAUCUAUGAAGUUAUUGAAAAAACACUAUAAAUUUACAACUUUUGAAGGAAAAGUAAGUAGCGUCUCAUCUGAAAGAAUACAAGUUUGAAGGAGAAAUUGUAUCCUCCAAACAUAACAAUUGAGCUCUUUAAACAUCCAAUUUAGUCGAUCUUCAUAGCCAAUGUGUCUAUUAGCAAAAUCUCAUCAAUCUAUGGGCAAAUUGAUCAAACAUAUCAAUGACUGGUUUUUCUUUCAAGUACAAUGAAAAUCAACCAUCUGCAGUGACGAAAAGAGGAGUAAAAAUUAAUUAUAUAAUGUUUGAUCGAUGAUUGGUUUUUCUUUCAAGUACAAUGAAAAUCACUCAUAGAGGAAAAACAUGACAAAAAAGGAAUGUAAACAUGUGCGUACUUUUUGGAUGACAUUCUUGUUUCACUUAGCUAUUACCAUGGGGAUUCUCUAAUUUUGAUGGAUGCCUUGAUGGCAAGUUUGAUAGAUAUAUUUGCAUUGUAAGGGUUGUCUUGUUUUGCGUAUUAAGGAUAUGAGUUAGAGUUGCAUUGUUUCGCAUAUAAAGGACAUGAAUUUUAAUAGAUAUAUUUGGAGUGGUGUGUGCAUGGAGAGAGACAUUCUAUUCUAUUUUUAUUUUUUUUGGAAAUUCAAAAUGUGUAAAUUGUGAAGGGCAUAAUUGGAAGAGAAUAAGUCACGAAACACCCUCCUUAGCCUUACAUUUUUAUACAAAUGAGAUAUUUAAUUAUGCAAUCAAAAUCUGCCGCUUCGCAAAGUUGAAAGGGAGAAACCUGCACGAUAAUAGUAUAUCAGUAAAUGAAAUCAAUAUAUCUUUUCUUAUAUGUAGUUGGUCUCAUGUCAUCAUUCAAAUCUUACGGUCUCCUAUUUUUCCUAAUUGUAGAGCACUUGUAAGAUUGAGGCCCUUCGUCUUGACGAAUAUGGAUACAAAAGAAGCUACACAGGUGAACAAUUUAAAGAACUAGCCCACUUGAGGUACCUUCAAGUGUGUGGUGUGAAUUUCAUCGGAGAUUUUCAAACUUUACUUCCUCAAUUAAGAUGGCUUCGUUGUCUCUCGAAUUUCGAAGCAGCCAAUUUUCAUCCAAAAAAACUAGCCAUGCUCAAUCUAUCAUGGAGUGAGAUUUCAGAUGAUUGGGGAGGAUGGGAUCCACUGAAGGUAAGAUGAAGAAAGGACAUAUCUCUUGUUAAUAAUCACAUUUUGUUGAAGUCCCAAUCGCACCAAGUUCUCCUUUCUUUUAUUCAGAAAUGUUUAAUAUUCUUGCUCAAAUUAAGAAUCUUCCUCUAAAUACAAGAGGAGCUUAUAGGCAUCUAAAUAUACCAGAAGCUUGUGCACCUUAACAUCUUAAAUUGAUAAUACCUUAACAACCAGUCAUGCUUAAUAUUGGACAUGCUAAAAAGAACUUUUUAAACUAUAUUAAUUAACAUCUAUUAAAAAUAUAAUUACAGUAUUUUGCCUAUCGUGAUUUUUUUUUAUCUAAAUUGUUUUUGGCUUCUAGGCUAAUUUCUCCUAGGUAAAAGUACGACUUUUUAACGAUUCUUGUUAUAUAUCUAUAUCUAUCUUCUUUAAUGGGAAAUGAAAAGUUACGACUAUUUACCUAUCAUUUGGUUACUAUCACACAAAUGCUCUAACUGCUUUUUACAUGAAAUACUAUUUGAAUAGUUAGAAUAAUUUAUAUUAGAAACAAAAGUUAACGCUACUUCAAAAUAAGUGCAUUGCUUUAUAAUUAAUUUUGUGAGGGUGAACUAUAUGUUAUUUUUGUGAGUGCUAGAGGGCACUUUUAUGUCCGUAACAUUCUUUUUGUGAUAGACAUUUAUGUGUCGGUGACAUAGCCAAACACUACUACUUAAGAAACAUUUAAAUAAAACAAAUGUGAAGUAGUGGAGCAUCAUAGCAAUUUUAGCAUAAGAUAAGGAGUAGUGGAGCGUGGGUUUUUAUGAGGAAUUUUAAAAAGUCUAAAAAAACAAAGAGUAGUGGAAAAUCUCAUUGAGGUAUCUCUUUUUUUUCUUCAGAUGGCAACCCAGCUCAAAGUUCUCAACCUUACGGGUUGUCUUUCUUUGAGAAGCACUUUUGACUUGUCUGCUUUCGAAAGCUUGGAGAUUUUGAUUCUUGAAGAAUGUGAGAAUCUAGAAACGAUUCAUCAUUCCAUCAUGCACAUCAAGUCCCUUAUCUCUUUUAAUGUCAAUGGUUGUAGGAGACUGGAGGAACUACCGAUAGGAAUAGGUAGAAGGGAACAAUUGAGGGAGCUUCUCAUAAAUGACACAGCUAUACGAGAGAUUCCAAUAUCAAAGGGUGAUUUGAUGAAGAUGGAGAUUUUAUGUGCCUCGUGGUGUCCACGACUUGCUCAACUUCCUGAAUCCAUGGGCUCACUUAAGUCGUUAACUCAGCUAGACCUAUCUCAUUCAGAGAUUGAUAAAUUACCUGAAUCCAUGAACUCCCUUAAGUCGUUAACUCAAUUGGACCUAUCUUAUUCAUAUCUUGAAGAAUUACCACACUCCAUGGGCUCUCUUGGGUUGUUAACUCAAUUGGACCUAUCUCAUUCAGG
rnacentral:lncRNA from 1 species